rnacentral:sRNA from 1 species
UGAACGGCGAUGCAAUCGGAACUGGAGA